CCUCAGUGAUCUGUCCUCACCGAUCUAUGAAGAUAGUCAUGGAGAUGAGGGGAAGGAAUGGCAAGAGAGUUUUAUGGUAGAGAAUGGGCCUAACGAGUCUGGGUGGAGACAUUAGAAUGAGGAAGUAGCGAAGUAGGAAGACGGAAAGGCCACCAUAUGAGGCUUGAUUGCCAAACCAAACCACCAUAUUCCUAGAGAAAGGUGAGGAGGGGGCCAUGAGACAAGCGGGAGACUUCAUGAUGAGACCCUAUUGCUGAAGACACCUCGUACUUGUAUCCUAGAACCCAGAGAAAUCAAAGCCUAUGCACCUAGAAGCUUCAACUUACUGGCUAGCUUUUGUAAUACUGGAAAGUGCUAUGCAUGCCACCAGAGGAGAAAAGUAAUCACUACUCUUACCUAGCUGUGAAGUCUGCAAGCUACAACAAUGACCGGCCUUGCAAGACAAGUCUACUAGUGCAAUAGUGCUAUGAAUGUUGUGGGAAUGACUAAUCACUUAUUGAUUAGAGACCUAGGAAGUAAACACUUCACCAGUCUCAAGAAGUUCCUGAAAUUAACAAGACUCAAAAGUCUCCUCCCCUAGGUUGUGGAAGUAGUGAAGAAUUGCUGGGGGAGGAACCUCUCCUUCUCUCAGCUGAUUGGGCUGAAGGAAACUCCGACAUGUUGAGCUACCUACAUGUUAUGCAGAGAGCCCCAGGACCACCACUUUUGAUGCCUGACGGUAUAAUCAUCUGGCUGCAUCUCUGAAACAGCACUAGGAAUUGGGAAGCAUGUUAGCAAACACUCGAUGAAGCCACUCUGAAGAAAACAUCAUUAAUCAUGGCAUCUGAUAAGUGACAUGCAGGGUCCAGAUCCAUUUCGACAUUACACUCAUACUGAAUUCCUGCAGUCGGUCCUUGGUGCAUAGGGAUUAGGCAUCUUUCUGUGAAUGAGAUUAGGGCUUAGGUAUCUUUAUUUAACACAAUUUCUUUAUUGAAUCUUUGGGAAUUUCACAUCAUACACCCCAAUUCUACUCACCUUCCAUCCCCUUCAUUUCCUUCCUUACCCCCUUCAGCAGCCCCCUGAAAGAAAAUAAAAAACAAAACAAAACAAACCAAAACAAGCAAACAAAAAGAAAAUCAACAACAAUAUCAUAACCAGAACUUCCAUCUUUCUCACCUCUCCAACACCUCUUCAUUUGUCCUGGUAGCAUUGGGACCCUUGGUGUGUCACACAUUGUACCCUUUUGUCCUAUCAGCUUGACUGGCAAAUGUUCAUUGCAAUGAGUCACUGGUCUGUUCAAGGCCUCUGGUUUCUGGUACACCAUCUUCUCUGGAUCCUCACUGAAACGCUACUUGGAUAUCCCUCUGUUGCCCCAAGUCAUAGAGAUCCUGUGUUUAUCAUUUUACAGGACCAGUUCUUUUCACAGACCAGCUCAUUUACCCCUCCCCCCCACUGCCCACCCUAGCAUCUGCCCCAUCUGGGAUUAGGCAUCUUUAUUGUGAAUGAAAUUAGGGAUUAGCCAUCUUUAUUGUGAAUGAAAUUAGGGAUUGGGCAUCUUUAUUGUGAAUGAAAUGUGGGACUAGGCAUCUUUAUUGUGAAUGAGAGAUGUAUAUUUCCCAAAAUGCAACCUCCCCAAGAUGCUGUGGUUUCCAAUUGCAGAUGUUUUCCAGUGCAAUUUUCUUUGCUCAUUGCUGCUCAGUUUCCCCAAAAUGUACAAUUUCCAUCGUAUCAAUCACCUACUGGAAAUACAUUACAAAAACCUAUGAGAGUGCCCCAUUGCUUUUUUGAGUAAAUAAAAAACCUUAAGUUGGUA